UGGCUAAGUGUCAUAAUAGAAAGUAAGAAUUUGUAUUGGCCGAAUAGAGACUAGAAACAAAUAUGCUACAAAAUAACAACAUAGUAUAUAUGCAUGCUAAUGUGAAUUUCCACUAACUCGGUAGAUUUUAAAGGCUAUAGCAACUACCUGCGCCAGUGUGGAAUCGAA